rnacentral:rRNA from 1 species
AACGGCCAUACCAUGCUAAAUAUACCGGUUCUCUUUAGAUCACCGAAGUCAAGCAUCAUUGGGCGUGGUCAGUACUUGGGUGGGUGACCACCUGGGAACACCGCGUGC